GACGUAGGGGGCCAGCGUUGUUCGGAAUUACUGGGUGUAAAGGGUUCGUAGGCGGUGUGGCAAGUCGGGAGUGAAAUCUCUGGGCUCAACCCAGAGUCUGCUUCCGAAACUGCUGUGCUUGAGUGUGGGAGAGGCGCGUGGAAUUGCAGGUGUAGCGGUGAAAUGCGUAGAUAUCAGGAAGAACACCAAUGGCGAAGGCGACUACCUGGCCUGUUUCUUGACGCUGAGGCGCGAAAGCUAGGGGAGCAAACGGG
rnacentral:rRNA from 1 species